GUGACUGCGUACCUUUUGUAUAAUGGGUCAGCGACUUAUAUUCUGUAGCAAGGUUAACCGAAUAGGGGAGCCGGAGGGAAACCGAGUCUUAAUUGGGCGUUAAGUUGCAGGGUAUAGACCCGAAACCCGGUGAUCUAGCCAUGGGCAGGUUGAAGGUUGGGUAACACUAACUGGAGGACCGAACCGACUAAUGUUGAAAAAUUAGCGGAUGACCUGUGGCUGGGGGUGAAAGGCCAAUCAAACCGGGAGAUAGCUGGUUCUCCCCGAAAGCUAUUUAGGUAGCGCCUCGUGAAUUCAUCUCCGGGGGUAGAGCACUGUUUCGGCUAGGGGGCCAUCCCGGCUUACCAACCCGAUGCAAACUGCGAAUACCGGAGAAUGUUAUCACGGGAGACACACGGCGGGUGCUAACGUCCGUCGUGAAGAGGGAAACAACCCAGACCGCCAGCUAAGGUCCCAAAGUCAUGGUUAAGUGGGAAACGAUGUGGGAAGGCCCAGACAGCCAGGAUGUUGGCUUAGAAGCAGCCAUCAUUUAAAGAAAGCGUAAUAGCUCACUGGUCGAGUCGGCCUGCGCGGAAGAUGUAACGGGGCUAAACCAUGCACCGAAGCUGCGGCAGCGACGCUGAUGCGUUGUUGGGUAGGGGAGCGUUCUGUAAGCCUGCGAAGGUGGCCUGUGAGGGUUGCUGGAGGUAUCAGAAGUGCGAAUGCUGACAUAAGUAACGAUAAAGCGGGUGAAAAGCCCGCUCGCCGGAAGACCAAGGGUUCCUGUCCAACGUUAAUCGGGGCAGGGUGAGUCGACCCCUAAGGCGAGGCCGAAAGGCGUAGUCGAUGGGAAACGGGUUAAUAUUCCCGUACUUGG
rnacentral:rRNA from 1 species